GUAAAGCUCUUGUGGAAGUAACACCAACCGUCAUGCUUGUGACUUAUUUCUCCUCUAUAUAGAUGGGGGACAACAUUUUGGAGGCACCGCUGGGAUUGCUGCUCAGAUGUCCAGUGUCCACCGCCUGUACAUUGAAGAUAUUGGAGACUUUUUUCAUGUGGCACUUCCCCAUAUGGGUAACAAAAAGGUGGUUAAAGCGGCGUUGUAUGAGGCACUUGUGGCUCAACAGGUCAUACCUAAGUGCAAAGCGCUUUCGGGCGUUGCUGUGCAGCCUAUGCAGCUUACGUAGCCUACCCAGUAUCUACCGGUUACCGGCAGGGGAGAGGCCAUGACUGAGCUGGAGGAUAAGGUUCUUGCAGGUCGUAAACAGCCUGUCUGGCGCAGUGGACCCCGGUUGGCAACUAGCGCUAAAAGAGCUUGAGUUGGAGCUACUGCGAGUUCGGGAGCUGGACGCUGAAGAGAGAAGGCUCAACCUGGCAGCUCAGCAGCGGAAGCCUGUGCCCUGCCACGGAAGUUUAACUCCCCGAGAGCAACCUCCCUGUAUUCCGUUGACUCGGAGCACUCCAGCCCGCAGCCUACUCCAGUGCCGUCCUCAUCGUAGGGUCUUGAUCGAGACUUGUUCUGCUGGGGCCUGCAUUAUGUGCUCGCUGUUGUAUCAUCUCCAGUUCUGUAGCAAAAGGACCACCACUCAUGGGGCUGGUUGGGGUUGCUUCCAGUAUGCUGGCCUUCCAGGAAUACAAGCGUUCUCAUAUAGAAGUCACCUGGCCAUUUGUUGCAACUUCCAUGAGGAGAAAGAACCGUGCCAGUGUGCAGUGCUAUCUCAUUAGUGUCUGUUGAAUUUCCUGAUUAUUUCUUCAAAUUGUGACAUCUAAACUGCAUUUACUGUAACUUGAACACCACUUUAACAGACUAAAAUCAUGUUUUGUUACUCUUCUGAUACCAGUUGUCAUUUUUGUGGUGUGUGUGUGUGUGUGUGGGUAAUGUGGCAGCCAAAACAAGACAACCGGAAUGCACUUAGCUCAGGUAUUUAGUGAAAAUCUUUGUGCAGUACAGGUAAGGUUUAU